AUAUCAAAACUAAAAUCUCUUUGUUGGACCCUUGCAUGCCAUUGAAUCUCAAUCUAUUUCUUAUUUUUAUAUUUGUUGGUCGCACCCAUCAAAUCAAUACAUUUUUUUUUUUUUUGAAAUGGGAAUCAAUACAUUUUUUGAUUUGGUCUAAUCAUACUCUUUGUAUCCGCACAUCUGGGCUAGCUCAUAGACUUGAUUUGAAUAUGAUUAUGUGAGCAAUAUCUGGGGGCCAAUAAAUUUGACGACUUAAGGAAAAUUAAAGGCCAUAUGUACAAGCUGAGCAUGCAUGGAGUUACUUAAAGAGUGAGGGUGACAGCAAUCCAACCCAUUUGCCAGGUUAAUUACCACGUACCAUUUCCAGGAGAGUUGUUCUGACAAUUCAUUGAUAGAAUUAAAAACAACAUUUAAAUUGUGUCCUUUUCACUUUCCAUAUGUGCCAGUGCCGCUGUGCCACCUGCAAAAAAAUACAAACCCUUCCUCUUGCAUUGAAGAGCACAUAUAAAGAUCAAAAACUUCUCUCAUUAUGCAAUGAGAUUGAGAUAAUUGAGAAUCUAGAAAGAAAAAUCUUCAAAUCUACUGGCAAUAAUCGUCCAAUAGUGUACAGUGAUAGCUUUUCUUUAAACUUUCGGAAAAGUAAAACUUAUUGGAUCCGGAACGGUGUAGAGCUUUUGCUGUAAGAAGAGUGAGAGAACACCUUUUCAGUUCUGAGUAAAGAUUAUUUGUUUUUUGUUCUCAUGUAUAGAGUCUUUUAGCUUUUUGAGUUGUAAAUUAAAGGGUGAACUGAAAUAUGACUUGUAUUAUCCAAAUAUCCGACGUCCUUUUUGUUAGAGAAAGGGACAAAUCUGUGGUACCACUGUUGUAUGGUACCACAGAUGGAUCCAAUCAUUGGAUCUAGCCCACAGUUGUCACCAGAGCUAGAUUCAAUGGUUGGAUCCAGCUGUGGUACCAUACAACUGUGGCACCAUAGCUGGAUCCUAGAGAAAGAUCAAUUUUUAUAAAUU
rnacentral:lncRNA from 1 species